GGGUUGUGAGGUUAAGCGACUAAGCGUACACGGUGGAUGCCCUGGCAGUCAGAGGCGAUGAAGGACGUGCUAAUCUGCGAUAAGCGCCGGUAAGGUGAUAUGAACCGUUAUAACCGGCGAUUUCCGAAUGGGGAAACCCAGUGUGAUUCGUCACACUAUCAUUAACUGAAUCCAUAGGUUAAUGAGGCGAACCGGGGGAACUGAAACAUCUAAGUACCCCGAGGAAAAGAAAUCAACCGAGAUUCCCCCAGUAGCGGCGAGCGAACGGGGAGGAGCCCAGAGCCUGAAUCAGCAUGUGUGUUAGUGGAAGCGUCUGGAAAGGCGCGCGAUACAGGGUGACAGCCCCGUACACAAAAGCGCACAUGCUGUGAGCUCGAUGAGUAGGGCGGGACACGUGGUAUCCUGUCUGAAUAUGGGGGGACCAUCCUCCAAGGCUAAAUACUCCUGACUGACCGAUAGUGAACCAGUACCGUGAGGGAAAGGCGAAAAGAACCCCGGCGAGGGGAGUGAAAAAGAACCUGAAACCGUGUACGUACAAGCAGUGGGAGCACCCUUUGGGGUGUGACUGCGUACCUUUUGUAUAAUGGGUCAGCGACUUAUAUUCUGUAGCAAGGUUAACCGUAUAGGGGAGCCGGAGGGAAACCGAGUCUUAACCGGGCGUUAAGUUGCAGGGUAUAGACCCGAAACCCGGUGAUCUAGCCAUGGGCAGGUUGAAGGUUGGGUAACACUAACUGGAGGACCGAACCGACUAAUGUUGAAAAAUUAGCGGAUGACCUGUGGCUGGGGGUGAAAGGCCAAUCAAACCGGGAGAUAGCUGGUUCUCCCCGAAAGCUAUUUAGGUAGCGCCUCGUGAAUUCAUCUCCGGGGGUAGAGCACUGUUUCGGCUAGGGGGCCAUCCCGGCUUACCAACCCGAUGCAAACUGCGAAUACCGGAGAAUGUUAUCACGGGAGACACACGGCGGGUGCUAACGUCCGUCGUGAAGAGGGAAACAACCCAGACCGCCAGCUAAGGUCCCAAAGUCAUGGUUAAGUGGGAAACGAUGUGGGAAGGCCCAGACAGCCAGGAUGUUGGCUUAGAAGCAGCCAUCAUUUAAAGAAAGCGUAAUAGCUCACUGGUCGAGUCGGCCUGCGCGGAAGAUGUAACGGGGCUAAACCAUGCACCGAAGCUGCGGCAGCGACACUGUGUGUUGUUGGGUAGGGGAGCGUUCUGUAAGCCUGUGAAGGUGGCCUGUGAGGGUUGCUGGAGGUAUCAGAAGUGCGAAUGCUGACAUAAGUAACGAUAAAGCGGGUGAAAAGCCCGCUCGCCGGAAGACCAAGGGUUCCUGUCCAACGUUAAUCGGGGCAGGGUGAGUCGACCCCUAAGGCGAGGCCGAAAGGCGUAGUCGAUGGGAAACGGGUUAAUAUUCCCGUACUUGGUGUUACUGCGAAGGGGGGACGGAGAAGGCUAUGUUGGCCGGGCGACGGUUGUCCCGGUUUAAGCGUGUAGGCUGGUUUUCCAGGCAAAUCCGGAAAAUCAAGGCUGAGGCGUGAUGACGAGGCACUACGGUGCUGAAGCAACAAAUGCCCUGCUUCCAGGAAAAGCCUCUAAGCAUCAGGUAACAUCAAAUCGUACCCCAAACCGACACAGGUGGUCAGGUAGAGAAUACCAAGGCGCUUGAGAGAACUCGGGUGAAGGAACUAGGCAAAAUGGUGCCGUAACUUCGGGAGAAGGCACGCUGACACGUAGGUGAAGUGAUUUACUCAUGGAGCUGAAGUCAGUCGAAGAUACCAGCUGGCUGCAACUGUUUAUUAAAAACACAGCACUGUGCAAACACGAAAGUGGACGUAUACGGUGUGACGCCUGCCCGGUGCCGGAAGGUUAAUUGAUGGGGUCAGCGCAAGCGAAGCUCCUGAUCGAAGCCCCGGUAAACGGCGGCCGUAACUAUAACGGUCCUAAGGUAGCGAAAUUCCUUGUCGGGUAAGUUCCGACCUGCACGAAUGGCGUAAUGAUGGCCAGGCUGUCUCCACCCGAGACUCAGUGAAAUUGAACUCGCUGUGAAGAUGCAGUGUACCCGCGGCAAGACGGAAAGACCCCGUGAACCUUUACUAUAGCUUGACACUGAACAUUGAGCCUUGAUGUGUAGGAUAGGUGGGAGGCUUUGAAGUGUGGACGCCAGUCUGCAUGGAGCCGACCUUGAAAUACCACCCUUUAAUGUUUGAUGUUCUAACGUGGACCCGUAAUCCGGGUUGCGGACAGUGUCUGGUGGGUAGUUUGACUGGGGCGGUCUCCUCCUAAAGAGUAACGGAGGAGCACGAAGGUUGGCUAAUCCUGGUCGGACAUCAGGAGGUUAGUGCAAUGGCAUAAGCCAGCUUGACUGCGAGCGUGACGGCGCGAGCAGGUGCGAAAGCAGGUCAUAGUGAUCCGGUGGUUCUGAAUGGAAGGGCCAUCGCUCAACGGAUAAAAGGUACUCCGGGGAUAACAGGCUGAUACCGCCCAAGAGUUCAUAUCGACGGCGGUGUUUGGCACCUCGAUGUCGGCUCAUCACAUCCUGGGGCUGAAGUAGGUCCCAAGGGUAUGGCUGUUCGCCAUUUAAAGUGGUACGCGAGCUGGGUUUAGAACGUCGUGAGACAGUUCGGUCCCUAUCUGCCGUGGGCGCUGGAGAACUGAGGGGGGCUGCUCCUAGUACGAGAGGACCGGAGUGGACGCAUCACUGGUGUUCGGGUUGUCAUGCCAAUGGCACUGCCCGGUAGCUAAAUGCGGAAGAGAUAAGUGCUGAAAGCAUCUAAGCACGAAACUUGCCCCGAGAUGAGUUCUCCCUGAGACUUAAAGUCUCCUGAAGGAACGUUGAAGACGACGACGUUGAUAGGCCGGGUGUGUAAGCGCAGCGAUGCGUUGAGCUAACCGGUACUAAUGAACCGUGAGGCUUAACCUUACAACGCCGAAG
rnacentral:rRNA from 1 species